rnacentral:rRNA from 1 species
GCCUACGGGGCGCAGCAGUGGGGAAUAUUGCACAAUGGGGGAAACCCUGAUGCAGCGACGCCGCGUGAGUGAAGAAGUAUUUCGGUAUGUAAAGCUCUAUCAGCAGGGAAGAAGAAGGACGGUACCUGAGUAAGAAGCCCCGGCUAACUACGUGCCAGCAGCCGCGGUAAUACGUAGGGGGCAAGCGUUACCCGGAUUUACUGGGUGUAAAGGGAGCGUAGGUGGCAGGGCAAGUCAGAUGUGAAAACCCGGGGCUCAACUCCGGGAGUGCAUUUGAAACUGUCCAGCUAGAGUGCAGGAGAGGU